rnacentral:lncRNA from 1 species
CUGGUUCUGCACUGAAGACUGCGAUGACAAUUGAAGAUUGUUCUAGAAGCUAUAUUUAGAGAUAUAAAACUUUAGUUGUGUGUAGGCUGACGUGUGUGUUGUUUCUUGUCCUUGGACUUGUAACUUUGUUGCCCGUUGUUUAGUUGCAGAUGGUGCUAAUUUGGGAGCUGCAACCUGCGAGACUUGGCUGGGACAACCACCAGAUUUUGUACCAAGUGUUGUUGCUGGUGAUUUGUCAAGGACACUAUAUAAUGGAACACACCGCAUU